rnacentral:rRNA from 1 species
CUACGGGAUGCUCCAGUGGGGAAUAUUGCACAAUGGACGAAAGUCUGAUGCAGCAACGCCGCGUGGAGGAUGACACAUUUCGGUGCGUAAACUCCUUUUAUAUAGGAAGAUAAUGACGGUACUAUAUGAAUAAGCACCGGCUAACUCCGUGCCAGCAGCCGCGGUAAUACGGAGGGUGCAAGCGUUACUCGGAAUCACUGGGCGUAAAGAGCGUGUAGGCGGGUUAAUAAGUUGGAAGUGAAAUCCUAUGGCUCAACCAUAGAACUGCUUCCAAAACUGUUAACCUAGAAUAUGGGAGAGGUAGAUGGAAUUUCUGGUGUAGGGGUAAAAUCCGUAGAGAUCAGAAGGAAUACCGAUUGCGAAGGCGAUCUACUGGAACAUUAAUGACGCUGAGACGCGAAAGCGUGGGGAGCAAACAGGAUUAGAUACCCCCGUAGUC